rnacentral:rRNA from 1 species
AUUGAACGCUGGCGGCAGGCCUAACACAUGCAAGUCGAACGGUAACAGGAAGCAGCUUGCUGCUUUGCUGACGAGUGGCGGACGGGUGAGUAAUGUCUGGGAAACUGCCCGAUGGAGGGGGAUAACUACUGGAAACGGUAGCUAAUACCGCAUAACGUCGCAAGACCAAAGAGGGGGACCUUAGGGCCUCUUGCCAUCGGAUGUGCCCAGAUGGGAUUAGCUAGUAGGUGGGGUAACGGCUCACCUAGGCGACGAUCCCUAGCUGGUCUGAGAGGAUGACCAGCCACACUGGAACUGAGACACGGUCCAGACUCCUACGGGAGGCAGCAGUGGGGAAUAUUGCACAUUGGGCGCAAGCCUGAUGCAGCCAUGCCGCGUGUAUGAAGAAGGCCUUCGGGUUGUAAAGUACUUUCAGCGGGGAGGAAGGGAGUAAAGUUAAUACCUUUGCUCAUUGACGUUACCCGCAGAAGAAGCACCGGCUAACUCCGUG